rnacentral:rRNA from 1 species
CCCUUGUACACACCGCCCGUCACGCCAUGGAAGCUGGAGGGACCCGAAACCGGUGUGCCAACCGCAAGGGGGCAGCCGUCUAAGGUCAAUUCAGUGACUGGGGCG